GGAGAGGUGCCGGAGUGGUUGAACGGGCUCGCCUGGAACGCGUGUAAAGGGUUAAACCUUUCGAGGGUUCGAAUCCCUCUCUCUCCGCCA
rnacentral:tRNA from 1 species